ensembl:lncRNA
CUUUAUUCAUCAAUCAAGUACAAGAGAGGAGCCAAAACACUCGGCCCUCUGUGGAAUGAGUGACACAUUGUAAUCUAUUCCCUUUGACAGACCGCUGACUUCUCCUCUCCGUGAUCUCUGAACUGGAGGCAUGAAUUUAAAUACUGUUUUCAGACCAAACACUUUUUAUUUUUACAUUGGUCAAUUAUAUGUGAAACCUGUAAGGUAAAACAUUCUGUAGAUUGUUUCUCUAUUCAAAAUGCUCAUCCUGUCUUCUGGAAAGGCUAAUCUUGUCCACAGGCACAGGUCUUUUCAGUAGUAAUGAAGGCAUGCUUCUGAAAGAGUUAAGGGUCAAAGGUCAUAACUCAGCUGUAGCACAGUCAUAGGAGGUCAUAGGUCAUGCUCAGAGUUGUGCAUCUGAUAUCAUGCAAUGGUUCAUGUAGGUUUGAUCUGAGGGUGCAUUCCAAAUGGCUCCCUAUUCCCUAUGGGCCCUGGUCAAAAGAAGUGCACCCUAUUCCCUAUGUGCCCUGGUCAAAAGAAGUGCACCCUAUUCCCUAUGGGCCCUGGUCAAAAGAAGUGCACCCUAUUCCCUAUGUGCCCUGGUCAAAAGAAGUGCACCCUAUUCCCUAUGGGCCCUGGUCAAAAGAAGUGCACCGCGUAGGGAAUAGGGAGCCGUUUGGGACAGACUUGUUCUUCAGUUGGUACAGCAUUAACGUUAUAACUAGGGAGAUACAAGCAUUCUUUAACCACAGAACCUGGAUAUCUAAUGGAAAUACAUCGUAGGUGCUAACCAUUUGUAACGUGGUUUUGCUUGCCAAAUGGCACCCUAUUCCCUACAUAGUGCACUACUUUUGAUCAGGGCCCAUAAGGGUCUGGUGAAAAGUAGUGCACUAUUUAGCGUCUGGUUCCAUUUGUGACAUCAUAGUUUUGUGCUCUAUGGAAGAGGCUGUAUUAUUGUUAGCACUCGUUAUAGUGGGAGAUGGUUACAGAGGUUUUAGACAGAACAUUCAUUAUUGCUUAGGUCAAAGGAACAUUCUAAAAUAUGGCCACAUUGCCUGAGAUAUGAAAUACAUACAUUAGUUGGAGGAUUAGAGGGGGUUGGGGGUUAGAGGAAAGUUGGAGGAGAGUUAGAGGGGGUUAGAAAGUUAGAGGGGGUUAGAAAGUUAGAGGGGGUCAGAGAGUUAGAGGAGGUUAGAGGGGGUUAGAGGAGGGUUAGAGGAGGGUUAGAGGAGGGUUAGAGGAGGGUUAGAGGAGAGUUAGAGGAGGGUUAAAGAGUUAGAGGACGGUUAAAGAGUUAGAGGAGAGUUAAAGAGUUAGAGGAGGUUUAGAGGAGGGUUAGAGGAGAGUUAGAGGAGAGUUAGAGGAGGUUUAGAGGAGGGUUAGAGGAGAGUUAGAGGAGGUUUAGAGGGGGGUUAGAGGAGAGUUAGAGGAGAGUUAGAGGAGAGUUAGAGGGGUUAGAGGAGGGUUGGAGGAGAGUUAGAGGAGAGUUAGAGGGGUUAGAGGAGGGUUGGAGGAGAGUUAGAGGACGGUUAAAGAGUUAGAGGAGGUUUAGAGGGGGGUUAUAGGAGGGUUAGAGGAGAGUUAGAGGAGAGUUAGAGGAGAAUUAAAGAGUUAGAGGACGGUUAAAGAGUUAGAGGACGGUUAAAGAGUUAGAGGAGGGUUAGAGUUAUAGGGGGGUUAGAGAGUUAGGAGGGUUAGAGAGUUAGGAGGGUUAGAGAGUUAGGAGGGUUAGAGAGUUAGAGGGGGGUUAGAGAGUUAGAGGAGGGUUAAAGAGUUAGAGGACGGUUAAAGAGUUAGAGGAGGGUUAAAGAGUUGGAGAGUUAGAGGAGGGUUAGAGAGUUAGAGGGGGGUUAGAGAGUUAGGAGGGUUAGAGAGUUAGAGGGGGGUUAGAGAGUUAGAGGAGGGUUAAAGAGUUGGAGAGUUAGAGGAGGGUUAAAGAGUUAGAGGACGGUUAAAGAGUUAGAGGACGGUUAAAGAGUUAGAGGACGGUUAAAGAGUUGGAGAGUUAGAGGAGAGUUAAAGAGUUAGAGGAGGGUUAGAGUUAUAGGGGGGUUAGAGAGUUAGGAGGGUUAGAGAGUUAGGAGGGUUAGAGAGUUAGGAGGGUUAGAGAGUUAGGAGGGUUAGAGAGUUAGAGGGGGUUGGAGAGUUAGAGGAGGGUUAAAGAGUUAGAGGAGGGUUAAAGAGUUGGAGAGUUAGAGGAGGGUUAGAGAGUUAGAGGGGGGUUAAAGAGUUAGAGGAGGGUUAGAGAGUUAGAGGAGGGUUAUAGAGAGUUAGGAGGGUUAGAGAGUUAGAGGGGGUUAGGGAUAGAGGGUUAGAGGAGGGUUAGGGAUAGAGGGUUAGGUCUGGAGGGUUAGGGAUAGAGGGUUAGAAUGUUAGAGGAGGGUUAGGGAUAGAGGGUUAGAAGGUUAGAGGAGGGUUAGGGAUAGAGGGUUAGAAGGUUAGAGGAGGGUUAGGGAUAGAGGGUUAGAAGGUUAGAGGAGGGUUAGGGAUAGAGGGUUAGAAGGUUAGGGUUAGGGCUAGUAAACAAGAUAACAAAAGUCCAAAGUAAACAGAUAAAUAAAUCAGUGCAGAUCAGGGGGAAAAAGAGAGCAGGUCAACACAGGAAGAGAAGAGAGGAGCUCAACAGGCAAACAUUUCACUGUCGUCAAUAUAAUUGUGCAAAUAUAUCCUAUGAGAAUGUAUUGUUCAAGUUUUUUUUUACAAGCAAAGUUCUAUUACAUCAUGCUGCAGUCCCAUCCUCUUCUACAGCAUAGUUAAAACAUGGUAUCAUGCUGCAGUCCCAUUGUCUUCUACAGCAUAGUUAAAACAUGGUAUCAUGCUGCAGUCCCAUCCUCUUCUACAGCAUAGUUAAAACAUGGUAUCAUGCUGCAGUCCCA